UACGUAGGGGGCAAGCGUUGUCCGGAAUCAUUGGGCGUAAAGAGCGUGUAGGCGGCCCGGUAAGUCCGCUGUGAAAGUCCAGGGCUCAACCCUGGGAUGCCGGUGGAUACUGUCGGGCUCGAGUCCGGAAGAGGCGAGUGGAAUUCCCGGUGUAGCGGUGAAAUGCGCAGAUAUCGGGAGGAACACCAAUGGCGAAGGCAGCUCGCUGGGACGUUACUGACGCUGAGACGCGAAAGCGUGGGGAGCAAACAGG
rnacentral:rRNA from 1 species